CGAAAGCGAGUCUGAAGAGGGCGAGAGUACGAUGAGAUAGACCCGAAGCCGUAGUGAUCUAGCCAUGACCAGGUUGAAGGUUGGGUGAAACCAACUGGAGGACCGAACCGACCCCCGUUGAAAAGUUGGCGGAUGAGUUGUGGCUAGCGGAGAAAUUCCAAUCGAACACGGCGAUAGCUGGUUCUCCCCGAAAUAGCUUUAGGGCUAGCGUCGAAGUAAGGGUAGUGGAGGUAGAGCACUGAAUUCAUGAUGGCGCCGUCAAGGUGUACUGAAUGAAAUCAAACUCCGAAUGCCAUUAUACCAUCUUCGGCAGUCAGACUGUGGGUGAUAAGGUCCAUGGUCAAAAGGGAAACAGCCCAGAUCAUCAGUUAAGGUCCCAAAAUUACUGCUAAGUGGAAAAGGAUGUGGGGAUGCACAGACAACUAGGAGGUUGGCUUAGAAGCAGCCACCCUUCAAAGAGUGCGUAACAGCUCACUAGUCGAGUGACCCUGCGCCGAAAAUGUACCGGGGCUAAGCAUACUACCGAAGCUGCGGAUUUGUAGUAAUACAAGUGGUAGGGGAGCGUUCCAUACUGCGUAGAAGUCAGAUCGUAAGGACUGAUGGAGUGUAUGGAAGUGAGAAUGCCGGUGUGAGUAGCGAGAUGUAGGUGAGAAUCCUACACACCGAUAGCCCAAGGGUUCCAGGGGAAGGUUCGUCCGCCCUGGGUAAGUCGGGACCUAAGGCGAGGCCGAAAGGCGUAGUGGAUGGAAAACAGGCAGAUAUUCCUGUACCCGCGAUGGAAAUGAAGGAAUGACGGAGAAGGCUAGUGUGACCCACUGAAUGGAUUGUGGGCGAAGCGAAUAGCAGGACGGCAGUGAAAUGCGUCGUCGGAAUGUAAAACGUGACAGGUAAGGGAACGUCUACGGACAAGUACCGAAGCACAUGAGGCCAGCUUCCAGGAAAAGUUUCUAGCGUUGAUUCCAUAGCGGCCCGUACCAAAACCGACACAGGUGGGCAAGGAGAGGAUCCUGAGGUGAGCGAGAGAACUGUUGCCAAGGAACUCGGCAAAAUGACUCCGUAAGUUAGCGAUAAGGAGUGCUCUUGUAAAAGAGAGCCGCAGUGAAGAGGCCCAAGCGACUGUUUAACUAAAACACAGCUCUCUGCAAAGUCGCAAGACGAAGUAUAGGGGGUGACGCCUGCCCGGUGCUGGAAGGUUAAGAGGAUAUGUUAGUCGCAAGACGAAGCAUUGAAUUGAAGCCCCAGUGAACGGCGGCCGUAACUAUAACGGUCCUAAGGUAGCGAAAUUCCUUGUCAGGUAAG
rnacentral:rRNA from 1 species